rnacentral:misc_RNA from 1 species
GAUGAAGAACGUAGCGAAAUGCGAUAAGUAAUGAGAAUUGCAGAAUUCAGUGAAUCAUCGAGUCUUUGAACGCACAUUGCGCCCCCUGGUAUUCCGGGGGGCAUGCCUGUCCGAGCGUCAUUGCUGCCCUCAAGCACGGCUUGUGUGUUGGGCCGUCGUCCCCCUCCUAGGGGACGGGCCCGAAAGGCAGCGGCGGCACCGCGUCCGGUCCUCGAGCGUAUGGGGCUUCGUCACCCGCUCCGUAGGCCCGGCCGGCGCUUGCCGACGACCAUCAAUCUCUUUCUCCAGGUUGACCUCGGAUCAGGUAGGGAUACCCGCUGAACUUAAGCAUAUCAAUAAGCGGAGGA